CGGCAGUUUCAAAAUGUGAGAUUUGCAUAGUAAAGGGGUAUCAAUGGGAUUUUGAGCUUCUAUGUAUGUGUAGCAGUAUGAGUUUCAGCUCAUAACUAUUGGCGCGCUUCUGGCCAAUCAUAACGGCGUAGCCCCGUAUAAAAACAGCCAGUUGUCCUCCCGCUGCCUUUCUUGCUCGUUGGUGACGGGAGCGCGCUAUACUUCCGGGUUGUGCUCACUGUGAGUUGUCUGCUCGGGCGUCAGAUCUUCAGCUGGCAGGUUCAUCCUCCACCUCAUCGAGGGAACAUAGUUAAUGCAAAGCGAGUAGCACUGAUAGCUGUCUGUGCACGUUGCAUUCUUGGAGCUUCCUCCCUCCGGAUCGACUCAAAUUCUGCUUGAACGGAUUGGACUGAAGCCGCCGGAGAUUCUUGUUAGUCGCCGAGCAUCUCAACCACCAGCUGUUUGUUUUGCCUACACGCGAUUGACUACAGACUCUACUAUUGGUACUGCGGUCUGCCUUCAAGGUGCACGAUCCGAACAUUUGCUGCCGCAGCCGUGGAGGCUUGCUGUCCGGCCACUGAUGUGUGGGCAUGAGUUCUUUUUAAGUGUGUGAAUGUAGCAGAAGGGUUAGCCCCCUACAUCAAUAGAGUUGAUCAAGUUUAUUUCUUUUCUUUUUGUUAGUUUGGUUUCAAUUUAGUUAAAAGUUAUGUUCUACUAUUGAGUUUAUUUUUCUUUCAUUAGUAGCUCUUGAAUUUCUUUUGUUCUGUUCCAAUUGUUUUGUUCUAAUUAUAAUGAUAAUUAGUAUUAUGGUUAUUGUUUUGAUUUGAUAAGUGUCUUUCGUUUUGAAUUGAUAUCCGGUGUUAAGUUUCUUUCAGUUUGCUCUUUUCAUUUUCAAUAUUGAUUUUGACACUAUUGUUGGGGAGUGAACCCCCUUCAAUUGUGUGUGUGUGUGUUUCCCAUCUCUUCCCCUAUUUUUAGUUGCUGAGAGCCGAAGGUGGUGGUGUUGGUGUCCGGGUGGUGGUAUCCUGUGUGCUGUGUGUCUCCCCGUUUUCAUUUGCUGUGUUCACUGUUUUUGUUUGCGUGUUUACGGGUGACUUUCCCUGGGAUCCUUUACCAUCCUCGUUCCCUUCUCCCCCUCCACUGGUAAGCCUCGGCCCUAAUUAUUAUAAUUUCUCCCCCUUUUUGGUGUGAAUGUGUUUUUAAAUUGAUUGUUUUUUAACCUUGAUUAUUCUUAUUGAAAUAAAAAUGUACUCUUUGUGAAAGUUGAACCUCGUCUUUGGCGCCUUUGUAAACUGACCUGUGGUCCUUAAAAAUUAUACUGAUAGCAUUACACAUAGUGAUUCAAACAAAAUCUCUGGGCGAAAUUCCCAGGGUGGCGUUGUCGGUGUUGGGUUUUGUCAGCUCUCGUGCCGCCACA